rnacentral:ncRNA from 1 species
UCUUAUCAAGAGAGACGGAGGGAUUGGCCCUUUGAUGUCUCAGCAACCCUCCUUUAAGGAAACGGUGCUAACUCCAAUAGGCUUUUAUCGGCCUAGAAGAUAAGA